GGUUAAGCGACUAAGCGUACACGGUGGAUGCCCUGGCAGUCAGAGGCGAUGAAGGACGUGCUAAUCUGCGAUAAGCGUCGGUAAGGUGAUAUGAACCGUUAUAACCGGCGAUUUCCGAAUGGGGAAACCCAGUGUGAUUCGUCACACUAUCAUUAACUGAAUCCAUAGGUU
rnacentral:rRNA from 1 species